GACGAACGCUGGCGGCGUGCUUAACACAUGCAAGUCGAACGGAAAGGCCCUGCUUUUGUGGGGUGCUCGAGUGGCGAACGGGUGAGUAACACGUGAGUAACCUGCCCUUGACUUUGGGAUAACUUCAGGAAACUGGGGCUAAUACCGGAUAGGAGCUCCUGCUGCAUGGUGGGGGUUGGAAAGUUUCGGCGGUUGGGGAUGGACUCGCGGCUUAUCAGCUUGUUGGUGGGGUAGUGGCUUACCAAGGCUUUGACGGGUAGCCGGCCUGAGAGGGUGACCGGCCACAUUGGGACUGAGGUACGGACCAGACUACUACGGGAGGCAGCAGGGGGGAAUAUUGCACAAUGGGCGGAAGCCAGAUGCAGCAACGCCGCGUGCGGGAUGACGGCCUUCGGGUUGUAAACCGCUUUCGCCUGUGACGAAGCGUGAGUGACGGUAAUGGGUAAAGAAGCACCGGCUAACUACGUG
rnacentral:rRNA from 1 species